rnacentral:rRNA from 1 species
UUUCUUCCCAAUAGCCUUCAACACCUAUACCAUUCAGAUCUCAGAAACUGAGGAGAAUUGGACAGGACUGGUACUUGGAUGGGAGAACUCAGAGGAAUGUUAGGUCUGCAGGAAAU